GUAGGUGGCAAGCGUUGUCCGGAAUUAUUGGGCGUAAAGCGCGCGCAGGCGGUUCUUUAAGUCUGAUGUGAAAGCCCACGGGCUCAACCGUGGAGGGUCAUUGGAAACUGGAGAACUUGAGUACAGAAGAGGAAAGCGGAACUCCACGUGUAGCGGUGAAAUGCGUAGAGAUGUGGAGGAGCACCAGUGGCGAAGGCGGCUUUCUGGUCUGUAACUGACGCUGAGGCGCGAAAGCGUGGGGAGCAAACAGGAUUAGAUACCCUGGUAGUCCACGCCGUAAACGAUGAGUGCUAAGUGUUAGGGGGUUUCCGCCCCUUAGUGCUGCAGCUAACGCAUUAAGCACUCCGCCUGGGGAGUACGGCCGCAAGGCUG
rnacentral:rRNA from 1 species